CUGCGCCCCGGGCAGAGCAGUCGGUGCAGAGCGACGGCGCCGAGAGGACGUGGAGAGCGGAGGAGAGGAGAGCAAAGCCAGAAAGUGACCGAGGAGCAAUCCCACAGCGUGCCUGGGGGUCGUUCCACUUCCAGCUCCAGCUGCCGGCAGUGAGCGGCGAAGCCAUGGCGGAGGAGUUGCGGGAGUCACUGCUGGCAGCCACAGCUCAAUUGGCCGCAAGGCGGCAGGAGGUGAUGGAGAUCAGGAGGAGGCGUGUGCAGCUGGAGCAGGCCAAAUGGGAACAAACAGAAAUCAACGAGGCCCUGCUGCAGGAAAUUGAGGAGCUCCGAGCGGCUCAG